UUGAAGGUCUACGAGUCUAUCCCAACGCAAUAGACCCUUAGCCGAUACGAUAUCCAAGUAGAGAGAUAUUUGUAUUUUUGAAAGAUCGUGCAGGCGGCCAAUUGAUGUGGGCCCAUAAGUCGAUGGUGAUACUUAUAGGUUCCCCUACCACCUAAGCCAAAAUCUACAUGAUUAGAAUGUGAUUUCACCCUCAAAAAGUUCGUAAAGAUUUUGUUCUUCUCUUCUCUUUACUAGUGAUUUGAAGGAUUCUUCAAGGAGAUGUAGGCUUGUUUUUAGGUGUUGUGCUAAUGUUUAGAGGUAAUAUUUUACCCUUCAUUUGUGUUCGAGUGAAUCCAAGUAAUAACUAAGCUAUGUGAGCUAGAACAUAUGAAUAGACUGUCGGAAAAUUGAACUUGGGUUGUUAUAUGAUGUUGGGCUGUUUUGAGAUAUUUCCCUGAUGUUAUUGCAGCUGCAUUGGGGAAUGACCUAUAUAUGUAUGUUUGUUGUUAAUAUGUAACUAGAAGAGAAACAGAAAUACAGAGAAUUGUUAAAUUGUUAGUUAAAAGUCGAGUUUGUCACUCGAUAAAUCAUGUAUUAGCUAUCAUUUAGCCUAAAUUUAGUUCUACUGUUGUCUAUUGUAGAUUAAGGUGUUGUAACAGACUAAGUUCAGCAAGUCACUGAGCGAAUUGAUGUAAGGUAUGUAGUGGCAAUCUCUUCUCCAUUUCGGCACGAAUCCUUUGUCUUAGUGACUUAUACCGAGAAAGAGCUUAAGGGAAGUGAUGACAUACUUACUCUACUCUUGAGAAUCGUCGAGUUAAUCAAUCUCUGGGUUGUCAAUGUCUAGUUGAUUAUGUACAAGUCCACGAAGUCAAAUCAAGAGUUAAUUCCCUAAAAUGUGCAUUAAAAGACUUACCGAAACAGUUAAAUAGAGAGAAGAAUUGAGGGUCUAAUUAUGUUACUUCUUGAAAUUAUGUUAAAAGUAAUGAUGAGUCAUAUAGAGUAAGAUGUUAAGUCCUCAUUCAUAAACAAGCUUCCGAUUUAAGUGGCUAAAGAAGUAAUAUUGAGCUUGGCAAGCAAAACGAGACACCAAUUUUGUUAAGUAAAAGAAGUUACGUUAAGAAAAUAUAUCGAGGGUUGAUGAGUCCUCGUUGUCAAUUGUUCUCAAGUGUUGCAUUAUUAACAAAAGUGAAGAAUUGUUGAAUCACUUGAGUUAAGCUAUACACAUAGAAACAUAAGAAUAAUCUUUGUCCUCGCUACCGAGUGGAUGGUAGUACAUGGAUAUAACCUAGCUACCGAGUGGGUGGUAGUACACUCAUUCCUAGCUACCGAGUGGAUGGUAGGACAUAUUUAUCCUAGCUACCGAGUGGAUAGUAGUACAUAUAUAUUUAGCUAUUGAGUAGGUGGCAUAUUGAUAUGAGGCCUCCCAUGGUUCUUGAGUAACAGAUGACUUGCCCGAUGUGGCAUUCAGGUUAAAGGUUAAUUCUUACAUUUAUCUUUCGUUGCAGCUGAGCAUAUGUUUUAUGUCUUACAUACCAAUACAUUUGUUCGUACUGGCAAGUGAUGUCGAGGGUGUUGCAUAUUCAGGUAGAGGCUUCGAUAGAUCCUCUAGUAGGCGGUUGUCGAGUUCAGUGUUUUGUUGUACAGGUAUCGGAGCUCAAGGUUCCUACACAAAUUGUCGCACUCUCUUAGCACCAUCAAGAAUUCCUAAUCCUUAAAUAACCAACCUUCUUUCACACCAUAUUAAUUGAAGUUCUAAAAGGGAGGUUUGAUCAGUCACUUGUCUCCCUAAAUUGCUUUGAGGUUUUGAAGGAUGCAGAUAUUGUUGAGGUUUCAAGACACUGCAAUAAGUGGAAUCUGGACCCACCAUAAGCUGCAGGUUUUGCAGAAUAUGCAACUAAUUAAGACCAAGCAUAAAGGUGGCAUACUCUCCAACAAAUACCCUCAACCGCUAAGGGGUCUUUCAUCCUGGAUAAAUGUCGCAUGAAGUUUCAGGACAAAGGGAUUCAGGCAACUUCUAUGUUAGUCAACUCUCUGAUUAAUAGUUGAAUUUAGAUGGAUUGAUAGUUUUAUUAUCAUCAAUUAACACAACCAUGUCAAUGCAAUGGAGAUAAUAAGGUAUAGUCCCAUAUGUAUCUUUUUGGAUGAAAUAUAAAUGUGUCACCGGACACAAUCACUACAACAAAAAUAAUUCUCAGUUGCAAUAUAUAUGCACAUUAACAAAAAGUGUUAGUCUUUACGAACAUUAGUUAUCUGCCAUUGGAUCCAAUAUCGCUAUAGGCUUUGGAGACAUUUACAAAGAAUUUUAAAAUGUAAUUGUCACUAAUAAAAAACACUAAAAGGUUUCUCUGUCAACUUAUUGGACACCCUUCUACAUGUGCGGGUGAACUUAUUAGUGUACUUGAUGCAUCUGGAGUCGCACUAAAGAUUUCAACAGCACACCCAAGGCUAAGGUGCAAGAUCAAGUCCUUCCCUCAGCCAUAAAGAGGCUCAACUCAACUAUAAGGUGGAUUUUGAAGAAAUACAUUCCAGCGAACUACUAAAAAGUUAAAAGGAGAUAAUCAAUAAAGUAAAGGAAAACAUUCAAAUCAAUAAAGAGAGAGAGAAAGUACGAACUUAU